rnacentral:lncRNA from 1 species
ACUCACUUUCGUGCCCUGAAUUUAAAGUAUACAAAAUUUAGUAUUAUAUAAUUUUAUUUUUAUUUUUUUAUUAUUAAUUUUAUUAAAUUUUUUUAUUAAAUUAGGGAUAAAGUUAAAAUUAAAGGUACAGUUUAGUUCGGAUAUAAGCAAGAACUAGCUAUUAUAUAAAUAAGUAUAAAUAUAGAGAUAAGAAAAAUAGCGUUUUGAUGAAAAUUGUGUUGUUCCCGGAAUAAGAAAAAUAGCGUUUGGAUAGAUAAUAUGGAAUAAGAAAAAUAUUAUGUAGUUUUAUAUAAAAAAUGAAGAUGUUUGUGGGGAUAAUUAUAAUCAGUUAUUAUAGGUAACCGAGAACUACUGUUCUCGGAUAAAAAAUUAGCGUUUAGGUAUAAAGGGGGGAUAAGGGCCUAUCCCUAUCCCUAUCCCCUAACCAAACACUGCCAAAAAGUAUUAAAGUGAAUAUUCGAUAAACCUAUAUGGAGUAUCUGAAGUUUUUAUAUAUAAUUUAACGAAAUAUUAACGAAAAAUCUGGCGAAAAGAUAAAAAUGAAACCACAUGACACUAACUUAAUACACUUUAAAGUAUAGAAUACCCAAGCUCGAAUCCUACUUGAUUCACAUUUCCAGCUAAGUUUAUUUCUAAAUAAAAUAAAUGAAGCGGGUAGCGUGCUAUCUAUCUCUCAAAAAAAAAAAAAAAAAAAAAAAACUAUAGGAUACUAAAGUGAGUAAGUGUGAAACUACAGGAGUUGUUUUUAAAGUUUACCAAAAAUAAUAAACUUCAAAUAUCAUCCCUAUAGUUUCGCACUUUCUUACUUUUGUACCUUAUAAUUUAACAUGUAUCAAGUUAGUACCAUAUGGUUUUAUUUUUCUCUUUUCGUCAACUCCACCAUUAAUAUUUCGUUAAAUUAUAUACAAAAAAUUUCAAAUACACCACCUAGGUUUAUCGAAUACUUGUUUUAGUACUCUUCAAUUUUAAUUUUGUCACUGAUUAAACGAAAAAAUUAGUAAAAUAAAUAAUUAAAAAAAAUUACAGAAUACUAAAUUGAUAUAUUUUAAAUUACACGACAUUAAAGUGGAAAAGUACAAAAUCAUCUUUUGAAGUUUUUUCAAAAAAGAAAAAAAAAAAAAAAAAAA